rfam:Rattus norvegicus chromosome 3, whole genome shotgun sequence.
AGAGAAAUUUUAAUCUUCUCAUCUUAGAAAAUUCAGUGUAUUUGUGUUUUAACCUAGAAAAGGUAAUAUCCUUUGUAGACAGGGUUUCAUCUCACCCCUUCACUUCUGGCUACACUUAGUGUCACUUUUCUGUCAGCAUUGGAUUUAAUUAAAUAUGAAUAAAUUAUUUCUCAGAAAACUAACUAAAUCUUAAUAUCGCUUUGUGAUUUCCCCUCUGAUAAGUGUAUAAUUGCAGAAGUAUAUAU